rnacentral:rRNA from 1 species
AAAGAAACCAACCGGGAUUGCCCCAGUAACGGCGAGUGAAGCGGCAAGAGCUCAAAUUUGAAAUCUGGCCCCCUCGGGGCCCGAGUUGUAAUUUGCAGAGGAUGCUUCGGGUGCGGCCCCUGUCUAAGUGCCCUGGAACGGGCCGUCAGAGAGGGUGAGAAUCCCGUCUUGGGCAGGGUGCCCGUGCCCGUGUGAAGCUCCUUCGACGAGUCGAGUUGUUUGGGAAUGCAGCUCUAAAUGGGUGGUAAAUUUCAUCUAAAGCUAAAUACCGGCCGGAGACCGAUAGCGCACAAGUAGAGUGAUCGAAAGAUGAAAAGCACUUUGAAAAGAGAGUUAAACAGCACGUGAAAUUGUUGAAAGGGAAGCGCUUGCGACCAGACUCGGCCCCGGGGUUCAGCCAGCACUCGUGCUGGUGUACUUCCCCGGGGGCGGGCCAGCGUCGGUUUGGGCGGCCGGUCAAAGGCCCCAGGAAUGUAUCGCCCUCCGGGGCGUCUUAUAGCCUGGGGUGCAAUGCGGCCAGCCCGGACCGAGGAACGCGCUUCGGCACGGACGCUGGCGUAAUGGUCGCAUACGAC